rnacentral:rRNA from 1 species
GACGAACGCUGGCGGCGUGCUUAACACAUGCAAGUCGAACGGAAAGGCCCUGCUUUUGUGGGGUGCUCGAGUGGCGAACGGGUGAGUAACACGUGAGUAACCUGCCCUUGACUUUAGGAUAACUUCAGGAAACUGGGGCUAAUACCGGAUAGGAGCUCCUGCUGCAUGGUGGGGGUUGGAAAGUUUCGGCGGUUGGGGAUGGACUCGCGGCUUAUCAGCUUGUUGGUGGGGUAGUGGCUUACCAAGGCUUUGACGGGUAGCCGGCCUGAGAGGGUGACCGGCCACAUUGGGACUGAGAUACGGCCCAGACUCCUACGGGAGGCAGCAGUGGGGAAUAUUGCACAAUGGGCGGAAGCCUGAUGCAGCAACGCCGCAUGCGGGAUGACGGCCUUCGGGUUGUAAACCGCUUUCGCCUGUGACGAAGCGUGAGUGACGGUAAUGGGUAAAGAAGCACCGGCUAACUACGUG